rnacentral:rRNA from 1 species
AGACCCGAAACCCGGUGAUCUAGCCAUGGGCAGGUUGAAGGUUGGGUAACACUAACUGGAGGACCGAACCGACUAAUGUUGAAAAAUUAGCGGAUGACCUGUGGCUGGGGGUGAAAGGCCAAUCAAACCGGGAGAUAGCUGGUUCUCCCCGAAAGCUAUUUAGGUAGCGCCUCGUGAAUUCAUCUCCGGGGGUAGAGCACUGUUUCGGCUAGGGGGCCAUCCCGGCUUACCAACCCGAUGCAAACUGCGAAUACCGGAGAAUGUUAUCACGGGAGACACACGGCGGGUGCUAACGUCCGUCGUGAAGAGGGAAACAACCCAGACCGCCAGCUAAGGUCCCAAAGUCAUGGUUAAGUGGGAAACGAUGUGGGAAGGCCCAGACAGCCAGGAUGUUGGCUUAGAAGCAGCCAUCAUUUAAAGAAAGCGUAAUAGCUCACUGGUCGAGUCGGCCUGCGCGGAAGAUGUAACGGGGCUAAACCAUGCACCGAAGCUGCGGCAGCGACACUCAGGUGUUGUUGGGUAGGGGAGCGUUCUGUAAGCCUGCGAAGGUGGCCUGUGAGGGUUGCUGGAGGUAUCAGAAGUGCGAAUGCUGACAUAAGUAACGAUAAAGCGGGUGAAAAGCCCGCUCGCCGGAAGACCAAGGGUUCCUGUCCAACGUUAAUCGGGGCAGGGUGAGUCGACCCCUAAGGCGAGGCCGAAAGGCGUAGUCGAUGGGAAACGGGUUAAUAUUCCCGUACUUGGUGUUACUGCGAAGGGGGGACGGAGAAGGCUAUGUUGGCCGGGCGACGGUUGUCCCGGUUUAAGCGUGUAGGUGUGUGUUCCAGGUAAAUCCGGUUCACUUUAACACUGAGGCGUGAUGACGAGGCGCUACGGUGCUGAAGCAACAAAUGCCCUGCUUCCAGGAAAAGCCUCUAAGCAUCAGGUAACAUCAAAUCGUACCCCAAACCGACACAGGUGGUCAGGUAGAGAAUACCAAGGCGCUUGAGAGAACUCGGGUGAAGGAACUAGGCAAAAUGGUGCCGUAACUUCGGGAGAAGGCACGCUGACACGUAGGUGAAGUGAUUUACUCAUGGAGCUGAAGUCAGUCGAAGAUACCAGCUGGCUGCAACUGUUUAUUAAAAACACAGCACUGUGCAAACACGAAAGUGGACGUAUACGGUGUGACGCCUGCCCGGUGCCGGAAGGUUAAUUGAUGGGGUCAGCGCAAGCGAAGCUCCUGAUCGAAGCCCCGGUAAACGGCGGCCGUAACUAUAACGGUCCUAAGGUAGCGAAAUUCCUUGUCGGGUAAGUUCCGACCUGCACGAAUGGCGUAAUGAUGGCCAGGCUGUCUCCACCCGAGACUCAGUGAAAUUGAACUCGCUGUGAAGAUGCAGUGUACCCGCGGCAAGACGGAAAGACCCCGUGAACCUUUACUAUAGCUUGACACUGAACAUUGAGCCUUGAUGUGUAGGAUAGGUGGGAGGCUUUGAAGUGUGGACGCCAGUCUGCAUGGAGCCGACCUUGAAAUACCACCCUUUAAUGUUUGAUGUUCUAACGUGGACCCGUGAUCCGGGUUGCGGACAGUGUCUGGUGGGUAGUUUGACUGGGGCGGUCUCCUCCUAAAGAGUAACGGAGGAGCACGAAGGUUGGCUAAUCCUGGUCGGACAUCAGGAGGUUAGUGCAAUGGCAUAAGCCAGCUUGACUGCGAGCGUGACGGCGCGAGCAGGUGCGAAAGCAGGUCAUAGUGAUCCGGUGGUUCUGAAUGGAAGGGCCAUCGCUCAACGGAUAAAAGGUACUCCGGGGAUAACAGGCUGAUACCGCCCAAGAGUUCAUAUCGACGGCGGUGUUUGGCACCUCGAUGUCGGCUCAUCACAUCCUGGGGCUGAAGUAGGUCCCAAGGGUAUGGCUGUUCGCCAUUUAAAGUGGUACGCGAGCUGGGUUUAGAACGUCGUGAGACAGUUCGGUCCCUAUCUGCCGUGGGCGCUGGAGAACUGAGGGGGGCUGCUCCUAGUACGAGAGGACCGGAGUGGACGCAUCACUGGUGUUCGGGUUGUCAUGCCAAUGGCACUGCCCGGUAGCUAAAUGCGGAAGAGAUAAGUGCUGAAAGCAUCUAAGCACGAAACUUGCCCCGAGAUGAGUUCUCCCUGAGACUUUAGGUCUCCUGAAGGAACGUUGAAGACGACGACGUUGAUAGGCCGGGUGUGUAAGCGCAGCGAUGCGUUGAGCUAACCGGUACUAAUGAACCGUGAGGCUUAACCUUACA